CAUUUCCUUCUCCAGGGGAAUCUUCCCUACCCAGGGAUCUAACCCAAGUCUCCUGCAUUGGCAGGCAGAUUCUUUACCCCUGAGCCACCUGGGAAGCCCUAGGCAGGGUGAAGGUGUGGUUAAAAUGGGCUUCCUGGAGUGACCUCUUUAUUCACUGCCACUCAGAUUUAUCGAGCGCCUACUGUGUGCUGCUAGAAACUGGGACACAGCAGUGAACACGAACAACCAAACUCCCUGGCUUGUCUGGACUGGCAUGCAUUACACAGCAUUCAGAACUUCCCCAGCCAGGGACUGAACCCAUGCCCCACCAAAGUGGAAGUUAACCACUGAACCACCAGGGAAGUCUGUACGUGUCAACUUGACUGAGCUAAGAGAUGCCUAGGGAGCAGCGCUGUAUGUCAGCACGAAGAAGUUACAGGAGAUGGACCUCUGCCCCUAAUCUCACAGAGUGGAAUGAUGUCUGACAAGUGGCGAUUUGAGAAGUCAGUGGUCGGCACACAGUGGAAAAAGGAUGAAGAAUCUUAGCUCCUACCAUAAUGAUUAAUUGAGACUCCCCUCUUUUUCCCUUUAAAAAUUGUCAUGGCUGAGCAGAAUCUGCAGAGGUGGGUUCUAGACAUAAGUUAACCUUCUUCCCAAACUGCUGGCUUUUCUCAAUAAACCAUCUUUCCUUUCUACUGA